rnacentral:misc_RNA from 1 species
UCAAAGACCAAGUGUAAGAAUUCUCACACAAUUGGUAGUAAGAAUUCUAAUUUGGGAUAUCGCAUUUCUUUCGUGGCAGUUGAAGAGGCCACAAACAACUUCGAUGAGAAUUGGGUUGUUGGUAUUGGUGGUGGGAAGGUGUACAAGGGAGUUUUAAAUGACGGUUCGAAAGUGGCUGUUAAAAUGGCAAAUCCACUCUCCCAACAGGGACUUGCAGAGUUCCGGAAGGAAAUUGAGAUAUUUUCCCAGUUCCGACAUUGCAAUCUAGUUUCAUCAAUUGAUUACUGUGAUGAAAGAAAAGAGAUGAUCUUAAUUUAUGAAUACAUGGAAAAUGGUACUCUAAAAAGUCAUAUCUAUGGCCCAGCACGUCCAAACUUGAGUUGGAAGAAAAGGCUUGAGAUAUGUAUUGGAGC